GGGGAUGUAGCUCAGUUGGGAGAGCACCUGCUUUGCAAGCAGGGGGUCGGCGGUUCGAAUCCGCUCAUCUCCA
rnacentral:tRNA from 1 species